AAAAGCAGCUUGCUCCCUGCAACUCUCUCAUUGUUGCCCACUGAAGCUAAGCAUGGCUGUGGCCAGUCAGUACCUGGAUGGGAGACCACAUGGGGAAGCUAGGUUGCUGCUGUAA
rnacentral:rRNA from 1 species